AGGAACACACACAUACAUACAUAUAUACACAGAAAUAAUUUGCAUAAAUACUGCCACACAACAUCUGGUGUUCAGCAAGUAUCAACUUACAAUAGUCACCAGAGCUCCUGGCGAAACGACCUGUCCGAAAUCGUCCGUCGUGGGGGGCUCGUAUCCCAAGGCGAUGGGUACCAGGGAGCCGUCGCUCUUGCGGAUGGUCCACUGAGGCGCCAGGUGGGAGUUCAGGAGGACGAGCUCGCCUGACACGUCGACUAUUGUAGCUGCAGAAGCACCCGUGGCUGUAUCGCGGCGUGGGGGCCGCUUCCGGGGUUUUGCCGGGCCCACUUGCUUGCUCGACGGCUUCGGCGGCGGCGGUGAUGGCUGCGGACUCGGCGGUGGAGGGCUCAGCUCAAGGGACUGAACGGAGGGGCAGUCUUGGGG
rnacentral:lncRNA from 1 species